UUUAUAUUUACAAAUUUGACAUCCAAACAAAAUUCAUACAAGUGCAAAAAAUAAUGUUUAAUUAACUUGAAAUGGUUAUAGAAAGGUGUGCAAGUUUGAAAUGUUUUUCUAUCAAGAAUCCGUACAUAAAACAUAUUGAAGCAAAAGAUAAUCGCAAACAACUGCUUUGUUGGUAGGACUCCCCGCUACAAUACAACAUAUUCAUUUAGUUCUUUAUGAAUUAAUAAGAUAUUUUUUUUCGUGGUAAACAUGACGAGUGUUGAGCCAAAUAAACAGCAUUUGUGGUCUGUGAUAUUUUUUUUGUUUAAUCAAAGAGAAAGGCAUAAGAAAGUGAUUAAAUUCUUAUCGAGACUUACGGCAAUCGUACUGUAACCAUUAAGUGGCGAUUUCAAUGUUAUUGUCAAAAAAUACGAAAAUCGACCAAAGAAGUUUGAAAAUGAAUUACAAGUAUUAUUGGACAAACAUGAUAUACAAAUACAACAAAUGAUGGUGGAGGAGUUGAAUGUUACUCGGUAAACCAUUUCACACAAACUGAAGGAAUAACGAAAAACUACGUGACAUGAUGCUUUUACGCCAUAACGAAAAGAUAUCACAAUCAAAAAUUAAUAUAUUUUGAAAUUUUCAAAGGUAAAAAAUAAUGGGUAACACCAUCAACAUUGAGUGCGAGAUCGGAUAGGUUUGGGUAGAUGAAGAUGUAAUGUGUGCGGAUCCGAAAGUACUAGUGAACUACGUCCGUUCCCGACAACAAAUGAUCAAUGGAGUUCAAUGGAAGAUGAUGUUCUUGUUUGGAAUGGUAUCCAUAAAUUUCUUGAGAGAUGAGCUAAAUAUAUAGAAAAAGAGCGCCGAUACUUUGAUUAAAAUCCAAUCUUGUCAUUGUUCUCUCGUUCCAAUCCAACGUGUGUGCCCAAAUACAUUUUCAAUGCAAUUUAAUUUUCCAGGAUGAUGUAUGGUGACAUUUGAAAUAUCUAGAGUUGUCCCACAUAUCUGCAAUUUUCUCAAUAAUUGAUGAUGUCUUUAAUAGAGAAGACAUCUCAAUCUAGAUGAAGUUUGCGGCAUUUGCACUUCUGCAAAAAGAUCGAUCGCAGAGAUACGUGGCAAACUUAUUCCAAACAAAACAGGCGAUUAUUCACAGAAUUUGGAAUGGAUGCAGGAAAAUUGGUAUCAGUCAUAGAAGACCACAUACUGUUCGUUAGAGACUGACUACUUCUCAAGAAGAUCGACAUUUGGUUCAGAUGUCACUUCAAGAGCGAACAAGAACUGCUUGCCAGUUAAGAAAAGAGUCAGGUUCUCUUUACAGAUGAAUCUAGGUUUUGUUUAAGAUACAAUGACCCACAACAAAGAGUCUAAAUACGCCGAG